UAACUGUAAGGUGCAUGUUGGUGCACAAAAUAAUGCAAGUAAAACCACAGAACAGAAUGAGAGUAACCAGAGUUGGAGGCCCAACCCCCUCCUCAAAGCAGAAAUAACUUCAAAGUAUGACCUGGCUGAUCAUAUCUAACUCCUGGAAAGUUUUGAAAUCUCCAAAACAUGGAGACCUCAGAACUCCACUUUAGUGAUUGUUCUUGAAGAACUUUUUUUUUUUUUUUUUCUUCUUACAUUUAAUUAGAAUUUUCCUUGUUGCAGCUUGUGCCCAUUACAUUUGCUCUGCAACACAGAGGAGAAUCUGGCUGCAGCUUCAGUGCAACUACCUACAGAGAGUUGAAGAUUGCAAUAAAAUGUCCCUGUAGUCUUGUCUUUAUGAAAACCAAACCCAGCUUCUUCAGCCUCUGUUCACAUCAUAUGUUACAGCCCCCAGCCACACUGGGUACAUGGCAGAAUUCCUUUUAAGAGCAGCCACCCCAAAUUAGACUGUAGCAUAUGUAACCCACUUUCAGACUCCAAAAGUGAAUGCUUAGAGAAAGAAGAAAAGUGAAAAGCAAGUUAGAAGUGAUAUUUCUGUGAUACAUAUUCAAGUUCCUAGAAAUCUGUGGAGUAAACAGCUCUUGAUACAGUAGUUGUAACUUUGAGUUAAAAAGUUUUAGAUGAUUAUUUUUGCUCUUAAACCUUUCCUGUCUGUGAUAUUCUGAAAGUGGCCUUCACAGCAAUUUCACUGUUUGCUGCAAUUAUACACAUAGGCUUUUCAGUAUAUAAGUAAAACAAUCCUAAAUUACAUUAAAAAACAAAACCAAAACUUUGAGUAUGGGAUUUGACAUUUUUUUUUCUCAUUAUGCAGUUGAAGAAAACAAAUUCUGAUCAAGAAACCUACAGGCAGGGAGGGAUGUUAAACCAUAUUGUAAAAAUCUUCAUAUUUCAAAAGAAUUAAGAAGCUUUGUAUGAUUUUAGAUGCUUUAUUGACAGUUGCCAACAUAUAAUGGAAGCAAUGGUUUUAUUUAUUUUAAAAUUUAGAUCAUUACAUACUUUUAUGAUGAUGAUCUCAGGUCAGAGGCUGUAUCUGCUAGCAACGUUACUAAGAGCAUUGCAAUUUAUCCUGUCACAUGGAGAACAUGGAUUAGACAGCCUCUGUCCUGAAGUACUGGCAGUGUGAGAAAGUACCAAUGCCAGGGAAAUGAAAGAAUAUAAGAGAACAAAAAUAGUAACUAAAAGUAUCCGAGAAAUAGUCUGUUACCUCACUUCAACCUAACAUUCAGUCCCUUUAUAGCAUUUCAUUUUGAACUGAAGAAGCAACAGCAUAUAAUAAAAACAACUACAUGACGGGUUUUUUAAACUUU
rnacentral:lncRNA from 1 species